GACGAACGCUGGCGGCGUGCUUAACACAUGCAAGUCGAACGGUGACGAAUGGAGCUUGCUCUGUUCUGAUCAGUGGCGAACGGGUGAGUAACACGUGAGUAACCUGCCCCUGACUCUGGAAUAACUUCGGGAAACCGAAGCUAAUACCGGAUAUGACACAGAGCCGCAUGGUUUCUGUGUGGAAAGUUUUUCGGUUGGGAUGGACUCGCGGCCUAUCAGCUUGUUGGUGAGGUAAUGGCUCACCAAGGCGACGACGGGUAGCCGGCCUGAGAGGGCGACCGGCCACACUGGGACUGAGACACGGCCCAGACUCCUACGGGAGGCAGCAGUGGGGAAUAUUGCACAAUGGGCGAAAGCCUGAUGCAGCGACGCCGCGUGAGGGAUGAAGGCC
rnacentral:rRNA from 1 species